rnacentral:rRNA from 1 species
GGGUCUGUAGGUUGGUCGUGCCACCGGUACGUACUGGUCUCACUGAUUCCUCCUUCCUGAAGAACCGUAAUGCCAUUAAUUUGGUGUGGCGGGGAAACAGGACUGUUACUUUGAAAAAAUUAGAGUGUUUAAAGCAAGAUAACGCUUGAAUACAUGAGCAUGGAAUAAUGAAAUAGGACGAUCGAUCCUAUUUUGUUGGUUUCUAGGAUUGACGUA